rnacentral:tRNA from 1 species
GGAAGGAUGCCGGAGCGGUUAAACGGCCAGGUCUCGAAAACCUUGGGGGUCGAAAGGCUCACGCGAGUUCGAAUCUCGCUCCUUCCGCCG